rnacentral:rRNA from 1 species
GGGUUGUGAGGUUAAGCGACUAAGCGUACACGGUGGAUGCCCUGGCAGUCAGAGGCGAUGAAGGACGUGCUAAUCUGCGAUAAGCGCCGGUAAGGUGAUAUGAACCGUUAUAACCGGCGAUUUCCGAAUGGGGAAACCCAGUGUGACUCGUCACACUAUCAUUAACUGAAUCCAUAGGUUAAUGAGGCGAACCGGGGGAACUGAAACAUCUAAGUACCCCGAGGAAAAGAAAUCAACCGAGAUUCCCCCAGUAGCGGCGAGCGAACGGGGAGGAGCCCAGAGCCUGAAUCAGCAUGUGUGUUAGUGGAAGCGUCUGGAAAGGCGCGCGAUACAGGGUGACAGCCCCGUACACAAAAGCGCAUGUGCUGUGAGCUCGAUGAGUAGGGCGGGACACGUGGUAUCCUGUCUGAAUAUGGGGGGACCAUCCUCCAAGGCUAAAUACUCCUGACUGACCGAUAGUGAACCAGUACCGUGAGGGAAAGGCGAAAAGAACCCCGGCGAGGGGAGUGAAAAAGAACCUGAAACCGUGUACGUACAAGCAGUGGGAGCCCCACCACUAAGCCAGUGGUGAACUCCACAUACGCAUCCUUUGCUGAGGAUACGGUUAACGGAGCGAAAGCGACGUUCAACCGCAAAAGAAGCAGAGGGGGCUUAGUGGUGGGGUGACUGCGUACCUUUUGUAUAAUGGGUCAGCGACUUAUAUUCUGUAGCAAGGUUAACCGAAUAGGGGAGCCGGAGGGAAACCGAGUCUUAAUUGGGCGUUAAGUUGCAGGGUAUAGACCCGAAACCCGGUGAUCUAGCCAUGGGCAGGUUGAAGGUUGGGUAACACUAACUGGAGGACCGAACCGACUAAUGUUGAAAAAUUAGCGGAUGACCUGUGGCUGGGGGUGAAAGGCCAAUCAAACCGGGAGAUAGCUGGUUCUCCCCGAAAGCUAUUUAGGU